AAUGACAAUCGAGUGGGUGAG
rnacentral:miRNA from 1 species